AAGUUUUUAUAUGGCGUAACGGUUAACGUAUGUGAUUAAGGAUCACAAGGUUCCAGGUUUGAAUCCUGGUAGGCUCA